ensembl:processed_transcript
GAAGACGUCAGCACUGACGCGUUCAUUCAGCGUCGAGUCUUCAGAGAAGAGAAAUCUGCAAAGACAGAGUUUAUUGAAGGACAGUGAGAAGAUGAGUGAUCCAGAACCCUGCAGAAUUAAACAGGAGGAGACUGAAGAACUAAUCGGUUUGUUACAUUUAGUUUAUUUCACAGAGCGAUAGUUUCGUUUCAUAAAGCAGUGCAUCAUGAGUCACAAGUAGAGGAGAAUGAAGAACUGAGUGAAGAUGAGGAGGAACAUCAUGUCAAAAGUGAAAAUGAAGCAAAUACUGAAGAUACUUUAUUACCGAAAACAACAGGCAAGAAAUGUUUGAUCUGCACUGAGUGUGGAACGAGUUUCAUCACCCAAAACGAUCUCAAGAGUCACAUGAAGAUCCACACUGGAGGGAAACCGCACAAGUGUUCGCACUGCGACAAGAGAUUUAGCCGAUUAGCAUAUCUGAUUACACACGAGAGGAUCCACACUGGAGAGAAACCCUACGAGUGUUCACACUGCGGCAAGAGAUUCAAUGAGUCAGGAAA